CUUUAGCCCCGACAGCAGCGGCAUCCUUUGCUUUUUUUCUUUAAAAAGCAAAGAUAUAGCGGAUGGCGGGACGAUGU
rnacentral:sRNA from 1 species